GAUGAACGCUGGCGGCGUGCCUAACACAUGCAAGUCGAGCGAGGGCUUCGGUCCUAGCGGCGGACGGGUGAGUAACGCGUGGGUAAUCUGCCUCAUACACACGGAUAACGUACCGAAAGGUACGCUAAUACGGGAUAAAGUUAAGAAAUGGCAUCAUUCCUUAAUCAAAGAAAUUCGGUAUGAGAUGAGCCCGCGUCCCAUUAGCUAGUUGGUAAGGUUAAAAGCUUACCAAGGCGACGAUGGGUAGCCGACCUGAGAGGGUGAUCGGCCACACUGGAACUGAGACACGGUCCAGACUCCUACGGGAGGCAGCAGUGGGGAAUAUUGCACAAUGGGCGAAAGCCUGAUGCAGCAACGCCGCGCGAGCGAUGAAGGUCUUCGGAUCGUAAAGCUCUGUCCUCAAGGAAGAAUAUUGACGGUACUUGAGGAGGAAGCCCCGGCUAACUACGUG
rnacentral:rRNA from 1 species